AAUAAACUUAGAAUGCAACCUACAAGAAGCAAAUGUUCAGCUAAAGCUCCUGCGAUUUAAGCUACAGUUGACAGAAGACACAAAAUAAGACUACAGAUGUGGACAACUGGUCAUCGAAAUUUUCCACAUGGCAUGAGGUUAAAAUACACCAACAAAAUAUAAAUUGUGAAACAGUGAGUAUUGUAAAAACUGCCAAAGAUCGGAAAUUAUAAAUGGAUUAUCAAGUAAGUAUUAUGAAAACUGAAAAAGAUUAGCUGACUACUGAAGGUAAAAAGGAACAUAAAAUAAACUAUUAGUAACGGCAAAUAUUUUCUCGGUGGCGCACAAAGACAAACUCAACAAGAUGUGUGAUCUUUUUAAUUCAUGUCUUAACUUCUAUACUCGUACUAAUUUCUACUAACGGAAGGACCGUCAAAAGUGUCAGUUAUAGGCGUAAAAAAUAAUACAGCAACAAAGCAAAACAAGAGAACGAUGGAGAAAUGACCACGAGUUACUGGAAACAAUGUUUUAAGAGAAGACAACAGACAGCAGAGUGACUUCAAGGAAACUUGAGUUAAAAUCGAAACACUAAUACAGAUAAAAAGUACUCAGUCUAAUAAAAAUAACAAGUACACAAUUACUUUACAAUAUUUAUUUAGAAAAAAACAUUUGAAUACAAACAUACGAAUGAAAUAUAUGAUCUACAUACACCGUGCCCUAAUGGUACUAUUCUAUAUAUUACAUAUCAUCUUGCAUAAAAUACAAACAUGUACAUUUAUUUUUGUGUAUCAAAAGUAAUGAUAAUAAGAAAACACGUAACCAUAA